AAUUUAUUGCAGCCCUGAAUCAUAUAUUAAUCAACUGUGAUGAGAUUCAACCAUAUAUUGAGAUAUUUGUGGAGACGUUGCGUGUGGUUGAUCGCAACAUAAGUGAUGAACAUGUUGAUAAGUGCAUUGAAGAAAACUUUGCAGUUUGGUUAAAGAAUUAUGUUGACAAUCCUUCAAAUAACGUGACAGAUCCGAAUAUAAGUGCC